AUGAAGAACUAUUUCGUGGAGAAUCCCACAUACCCGGAGUCGUAUUUUCGUCGCCGGUUUAGGAUGAGCAUCGACUUGUUCAGGCGCAUUGCAGAGAAACUAGCGAACCAUGACCGGUUUUUCCAGCAAAGGAGGAAUGCCGCCGGAGAGCUCGGGCAUAGCACUUUUCUGAAGGUGACAGCCGCUUUGCGUAUGUUGGCAUGCGGUAUCCCGGCUGAUCUAGUUGAUGAUCAUCUGGCUAUGGGUGAGAGCCAAGCCAUCAUGUGUGUCAAGCGCUUGAUUUCCACAAUGCUCAGGCGGCGGCUAGAAAAGAUGUGGAGAGAGCAUUUGGGAUUUUGCAAGCCUAAUUUGCUAUUGUGA
rnacentral:rRNA from 1 species